AACUUUUAGCAAUGGAUCUCUUGGCUCUCGCAUCGAUGAAGAACGCAGCGAAAUGCGAUAAGUAAUGUGAAUUGCAGAAUUCAGUGACUCAUCGAAUCUUUGAACGCACCUUGCGCUCCUUGGUAUUCCGAGGAGCAUGCCUGUUUGAGUGUCAUUCAAUUCUCAACCUUUAUUAGCUUUUGCUGAUACUGGCUUGGAUGGGUGGGUGCUGGCUCCUUUGUCAGCUGCCCUUAAAUGCGUUAGCUGGUGCCCCGUGGCGACGUGUCUAUUGGCGUGAUAAUUAUCUACGCUGCGGAUGGUCUGCUAUAGCACAGCUUCUAACCGUCUGUCCAUGCGGACAAUACAAUGACAAUUUGACCUCAAAUCAGGUCGGACUACCUGCUGAACUUAAGAAAAUCAAUAAGGGGAGGCU
rnacentral:misc_RNA from 1 species